rnacentral:rRNA from 1 species
UACGUAGGGGGCAAGCGUUGUCCGGAUUCAUUGGGCGUAAAGAGCGUGUAGGCGGCCAGGUAGGUCGGUUGUGAAAACUGGAGGCUCAACCUUCAGAGGUCGACCGAAACCAUCUGGCUAGAGUCCGGGAGAGGAGAGUGGGCUUCCUGGUGUAGCGGUGAAAUGCGCAGAUAUCAGGAGGAACACCGAUGGCGAAGGCAGCUCGCUGGGACGGUACUGACGUGAGGCGCGAAAGCGGUGGGGAGCAAACAGGG